CCCUUAGAUGUUCUGGGCCGCACGCGCGCUACACUGAUGCAUUCAACGAGUCUAAAACCUGGUCUGAUAGGGCUGGGUAAUCUUUUGAAAGUGCAUCGUGAUUGGGAUAGAUGAUUGCAAUUCUUCAUCUUCAACGAGGAAUGCCUAGUAAACGCAAGUCAUCAGCUUGCAUUGAUUACGUCCCUGCCCUUUGUACACACCGCCCGUCGCACCUACCGAUUGAAUGGUCCGGUGAAAUCUCGGGACGGCGGCUUGGUCGCUUGCGUCCGACUGCUGAAACUUGAUUAAACCAUAUCAUUUAGAGGAAGGUGAANUCGUAACA
rnacentral:rRNA from 1 species